UUUAGCAACAAUUUCCUCUUCUUCUUUUUGAACUUCACGAUGUAUUUUCAUGAUUCUUUCUAAAACUUCGAAACAUCACGAUGUUACGUUGUGUAAAAUAUAUACUCCAUAAUAAUGGAGCUUCUUUACUUAAUCAACAUAAAUCAUUAAUUCGAUAUAAGCAUUUGCUAGCUGGUAACUUUCAAAAGAGUAUUAAUUUAGAAGCUAAAUGGGGGAAAAGGUUCCUAACUCGCAAUAGCAGUACACAGAGGAAGAAGGAGAAAAUAGUAGGUUCGUGGCUACUUUGCUGUGGUGGUAUGGUGUAUGUGGCUGUUGCUCUUGGAGGGGUAACACGACUAACGGAAUCUGGGCUGUCAAUGGUAAAUUGGGAGUUGCUCGGGGAGAAAAAACCUUCCACCGCUGAGGAAUGGAAAGUGGAAUUUUCGAAAUACCAAAAGUUUCCAGAAUUUAAACUGAAAAAUAGUUCAAUGUCUUUGGACGAGUUUAAAUUUAUAUAUAUGAUGGAAUACAUUCAUAGAAUGUGGGGACGUGGAAUCGGUGCUGUAUUCUUGAUACCAGCUGUUUAUUUUUGGAAACAAGGCUAUUUCACCAGUACUACAAAAAAAUACGUCUUGUUACUUGGUACAUUAAUUGGUUUACAAGGUCUUAUGGGUUGGUACAUGGUUAAAUCUGGACUGGAGGACAAAUUUCAAGAUAUACGAUUUUGCCAAAAAUUGAAAUUAGCACAAUAAUAAACAAAUAAGGUCAAGUUAAGAUAGGCCGUUAUUAUUUCGCUGGUCUUCCUGUAGGGAAAAUUGAGGUCGAACAGACGAGCGAAUGGUAGCACAGCUUGAAAAUCUUGGUUUUCACCUGUAAUACAAAAGUGCAAAUAAAUAUUAAACAAUUUAAAAUUAAA
rnacentral:misc_RNA from 1 species